rnacentral:rRNA from 1 species
UACGAAGGGGGGCGAGCGUUUGUUCGGAUUUACUGGGCGUAAAGGGCGCGUAGGCGGCGCCGCAAGUCGAGUGUGAAAGCCCCGGGCUCAACCUGGGAGGUGCGCUCGAGACUGUGGUGCUGGAGUUCGGGAGAGGAGCGUGGAAUUCCCCAGUGUAGAGGUGAAAUUCGUAGAUAUUGGGAAGAACACCGGUGGCGAAGGCGGCGCUCUGGACCGAGACUGACGCUGAGGCGCGAAGGCGUGGGGAGCAAACAGG